UAAUCAACUGCUUGGUACAUGAUGCUAAA
rnacentral:piRNA from 1 species